GAAACGGAGACGCCCCCCGCCCCCGCUGAACUGGCCGGACACCCGCAGGAGCCCGACGCAGCCGGUCGCCGGAGCCCAGCUAGGGGCCGGCGAUACAGGGGUCUCCGCGUGGGUUUCUAGGGCUUUGAGCAGAAACGACUUUCGGCUGAGCACCCUGCGCUGCAGAGGUCGAUCGCUUUGCCAUAAGGCAGCCAGCGGAUGUUGCGUAAAUGAGGCCCCGACUCGAGGCUAAACUGACAGAGAGAGUAAGAAGGGGGCGUGGGUGCAGCCCUCUGGACCCCGGGAUGUGAGAGCGACCAAGUGAGGCAGGCAGUCGCUUCUAUUCCACCGACUUCUGUUGGGGAGAGAGACACCCUUUCAGACCUGAAGAAGAGCUCUGUGUAAGCGCCAAAGCCUGUCUCUUUCACCAACAGCUUGGGCCAGUAAAAAUAUAUUACCUCACCCGCCCGCUCUCUUUAAUAGGGUAACGGAUACAGCCAAGAGGCGCUCUUAGCAGUGUGCACAGCACAUCGUUUCUAGCAGCUAACAGUAACGUGGGUUUGAUUAAAAUCGAGCUCCAUGACAGAAGGGUUGUGAUUGAAGAUGAAUUUCGCAGGCUAGUACUUGUCCCACCUGCUUCAAGACUCAUUUGCAGGAUGUAAAAACGGCAAGGAUAAUUAGAGAAACCAUCCUCCACCCUUGUGUGUGUCAUCAUUUUCUAUCAUGCAAAUAGUUUAUUUGUGCUGGGCAAAAUCCUGACGCCAACACUAAGGCAUCCUGGAACCAUGUUAGUCUGAGUAAUUUAAUUCCAAAGGGUAAUGAAUACACAGCAAUAGCUAGUGCCAAUUAACUAUUUUUCCAGGAAAUGACCAUGUUGUAGAGACUGUUCUACCUUCAGUGGCAGCAUCAACAACACUUGAAGAAGAAAGGAAGCAGCAUUGGACUGGGGAGAAAGACCCUGACUGAAAAAUGCAGCCAGUAUGAUUGUUGGAACCUGUGGGAGCUGGCUGAGAAGAGACUGCAAACUCUGCAUUCUCCCUCUAGACUUCUUUAUGGCUACAAUUAAGUAACAUCCUUUUGGCUCUUACCCCAACAGUGCCAGCAAGAGAAGAUUGCAUAAUUUCUUCUAUAUUUGGUUUGUUGGUUAAAUCUUAACUAUACUCUGUGACGGUGCCCCCCAUAAGGCUUUCUGGAAAUAUGCUUAUAAAUGUACAUAUGACAUAACUAGAAUGUGUUUUAUGCUACAUAUGCCAUGUAACAUAUCUCUGUAAAGGUUGUGAUCUACUGAAUCUAUUAAUCCUAUUUGUAUGCAUGUAUCAUUUUUGUAUUUGAAGUUAUGAAUAUUGCUGCAUACUUGUUUGAUUCUGAGUAGGUUUUAGUGAAGCAGUUGGUCAGCUUCCUGAGAAAAGACUAUUCUCAGUAAGUGCCCAAUCAAGAAGCCCUUAAGCCAACAAUGAACUUGGAGAUGCCAGUCAACAUCUGGGCUUUGCCAGGAAUGUGGCUUGGCUGGUAAGGAACUCAAUCAUGCAUGGACAUGUAACUUGCCCAGAUGAUUCCAAAACUCCAUUUUGUAGCUGGACUUUGCAUAGGAGAGAGGAAUGGGUCUCCACCCACAAGAGAAAGUCUAUUUAAACCCCUGGGAGACCGCUCCAUUUUGUCUUCAGCUGGCUAGAGAGAGAUCCACCCCCAAAGAUACCUGAAAGAAACUGGAAUAAAGCAUAGUAACUACAGGGGGUGUGAGUGAUUCCUGGACCCAGACUAGAAGGAGGCUAGUCUGUAAAAGAAAGCUUACUGGAACUGGUGAGGUUUUUAUCUAUAUUCAAUUUUAUUACUGUACUAGACUUAGACUUGCAUGUUUUAUUUUAUUUUGCUUGGUAAUUCACUUUGUUCUGUCUGUCACUACUUGGAACCACUUAAAUCCUACUUUCUGUAUUUAAUAAAAUCACUUUUUACGUAUUAAUUAACCCAGAGUAUGUAUUAAUACCUGGGGGGGCAAA